rnacentral:rRNA from 1 species
UACGAAGGGGGCUAGCGUUGCUCGGAAUCACUGGGCGUAAAGGGUGCGUAGGCGGGUCUUUUAAGUCAGGGGUGAAAUCCUGGAGCUCAACUCCAGAACUGCCUUUGAUACUGCAAAUCUCGAGUCCGAUAGAGGUGGGUGGAAUUCCUAGUGUAGAGGUGAAAUUCGUAGAUAUUAGGAAGAACACCGGUGGCGAAGGCGGCCCACUGGAUCGGGUACUGACGCUGAGGUGCGAAAGCGUGGGGAGCAAACAGG